AAUACAUGCAGUCGAGCGGACAGAUGGGAGCUUGCUCCCUGAUGUUAGCGGCGGACGGGUGAGUAACACGUGGGUAACCUGCCUGUAAGACUGGGAUAACUCCGGGAAACCGGGGCUAAUACCGGAUGGUUGUUUGAACCGCAUGGUUCAAACAUAAAAGGUGGCUUCGGCUACCACUUACAGAUGGACCCGCGGCGCAUUAGCUAGUUGGUGAGGUAACGGCUCACCAAGGCAACGAUGCGUAGCCGACCUGAGAGGGUGAUCGGCCACACUGGGACUGAGACACGGCCCAGACUCCUACGGGAGGCAGCAGUAGGGAAUCUUCCGCAAUGGACGAAAGUCUGACGGAGCAACGCCGCGUGAGUGAUGAAGGUUUUCGGAUCGUAAAGCUCUGUUGUUAGGGAAGAACAAGUACCGUUCGAAUAGGGCGGUACCUUGACGGUACCUAACC
rnacentral:rRNA from 1 species